CCGAAUAUCUGAUGUGAGAAAUUCAAUAUUAUUCAAUGUAAUUUUUAUUAAAAUUAUAUUGAACAAUAUGCACUUUUCUCAUAGUAAGACAUUGUAAUCCAUUGAUAUUAUAUCUUUAUUUAUUUAAAGAUGAUUUAACAUACGGACAAAAUGUAUAUGAUUAUUCUAUCAAUGAUAUGUUUUACAUGUCAUAUGAAUAAAAUCGUUUUGUACCUGUUUAAAUAGUCGAUGGAUUUUUUAAUUAAAAUCAUGCUUGCAAUUUAUUUUGCAUUUCGUAUCAUUAAUUUUUAAUUGAUGAUAGCAGAAAUGGCAUGUAUUUGAUUAACAAUGCGAUAGAUUUGGGAUGCCUUCGGGACCCGUCUUGA
rnacentral:rRNA from 1 species